UACAGAGGUCUCAAGCGUUGUUCGGAUUUAUUGGGCGUAAAGGGUGCGUAGGCGGCGCGGUAAGUCGGGUGUGAAAUCUCGGAGCUUAACUCCGAAACUGCAUUCGAUACUGCCGUGCUUGAGGACUGGAGAGGAGACUGGAAUUUACGGUGUAGCGGUGAAAUGCGUAGAUAUCGUAAGGAAGACCAGUGGCGAAGGCGGGUCUCUGGACAGUUCCUGACGCUGAAGCACGAAGGCCAGGGGAGCAAACGGG
rnacentral:rRNA from 1 species